AAUUCACUAGGCGCAGGCUU
rnacentral:rRNA from 1 species